rnacentral:snRNA from 1 species
GUGCUCGCUUUGGCAGCACAUAUACUAAA